CUUUACUGUAGCUUUACAUUGGACUUUGAACAGAUCUGUGUAGGAUAGGUGGGAGGCUUUGAAGCGGUGCCGCUAGGUGUCGUGGAGCCAACGUUGAAAUACCACCCUGGUGUGUUUGAGGUUCUAACCUUGGCCCGUGAUCCGGGUUGGGGACAGUGUAUGGUGGGCAGUUUGACUGGGGCGGUCUCCUCCCAAAGCGUAACGGAGGAGUUCGAAGGUACGCUAGGCACGGUCGGAAAUCGUGCUGAUAGUGCAUUGGCAUAAGCGUGCUUGACUGCGAGACUGACAAGUCGAGCAGGUACGAAAGUAGGACAAAGUGAUCCGGUGGUUCUGUAUGGAAGGGCCAUCGCUCAACGGAUAAAAGGUA
rnacentral:rRNA from 1 species